rnacentral:misc_RNA from 1 species
GCACCGAUUUAUUCCGGUCCGACUCACCACCGGUUCACCGCCGUGUUCCCGAUCGGCAACCUCCCUGACUCUCUUCUCCGGUAACAUCUCCGAUCAGGGAGUUACAGGGGAAAUCAUGAACUUCCUGAUGCUGAGGUCUAAUCAGACUGCAGCUUCUGAGCAUUCACCUGCUCGUGGAGUGCAAUCGGUGCCAACUCAUGCUUCCAAACCAAGUACUACUUUAGAGGGCCUUAUUUCUGAAGAACCGUAUACAGAGAGUG